GAAUAUUGGACAAUGGGCGCAAGCCUGAUCCAGCCAUGCCGCGUGAGUGAUGAAGGCCCUAGGGUUGUAAAGCCCUUUCACCGGUGAAGAAAAUGACGGUUACCGGACAAGAAGCCCGGGCUAACGUCGUGCCAGCAGCCGCGGUACUACGAAGGGGGCUAGCGUUGUUCGGAUUUACUGGGCGUAAAGCGCACGUAGGAGGACUAUUAAGUCAGGGGUGAAAUCACGGGGCUCAACCCCGGAACUGCCUUUGAUACUGGUAGUCUUGAGUUCGAGAGAGGUGAGUAGAAUUCCGCGUGUAGAGGUGAAAUUCGUAGAUAUUCGGAGGAACACCAGUGGCGAAGGCGGCUCACUGGCUCGAUACUGACGCUGAGGUGCGAAAGCGUGGGGAGCAAACA
rnacentral:rRNA from 1 species